AAUGAACGCUGGCGGCGUGCUUAACACAUGCAAGUCGUACGAGAAAUCUUUGGGCUUGCUCGAAGAGAGUAAAGUGGCGCACGGGUGAGUAACGCGUGGGUAAUUUGCCUUCAAAUUGGGGAUAACGUGCCGAAAGGCGUGCUAAUACCGGAUGAAAUCGCAUUGACCAUGGUUGAUGAGAUCAAAGGUGGCCUAUUCAAGAAGCUACUGUUUGGAGAUAAGCCCGCGUACCAUUAGCUUGUUGGUGGGGUAAUGGCCCACCAAGGCGACGAUGGUUAGCUGGUCUGAGAGGAUGAUCAGCCACACUGGAACUGACACACGGUCCAGACUCCUACGGGUGGCAG
rnacentral:rRNA from 1 species